rnacentral:misc_RNA from 1 species
GAUGAAGAACGCAGCGAAAUGCGAUAAGUAAUGUGAAUUGCAGAAUUCAGUGAAUCAUCGAAUCUUUGAACGCACAUUGCGCCCUUUGGUAUUCCGAAGGGCAUGCCUGUUCGAGCGUCAUUUCACCACUCAAGCCUGGCUUGGUAUUGGGCGCCGCGGUCGACCCGCGCGCCUCAAAGUCUCCGGCUGAGCUGUCCGUCUCUAAGCGUUGUGAUUUCAUUAAUCGCUUCGGAGUGCGGGCGGCCGCGGCCGUUAAAUCUUUCACAAGGUUGACCUCGGAUCAGGUAGGGAUACCCGCUGAACUUAAGCAUAUCAAUAAGCGGAGGA